AAAGAAGAAGAAGAAGAAAA
rnacentral:miRNA from 1 species